AAAGCUGAUUUGAUACCAUCCAUAAACAGCAUGCUCCUUUGUUGAUCUCAAUUCAAUUUAUUCCAACUUGAUGUGCUGCUGAUGGCUUCCAUUCUUCUCCAUGACUCCAUUACGACUCUGGAUGAUCCUCUUGUCUAUCUGCCUCUAUAAAACUGCAGCCCUCUGCCUUUUCAGCCCCUUCCUCUACCCCCCCUUUUUUUUUUUUUUUUUUGAGAUUCUCUGAAUUAAUAAAUGUUCUUAUUGCGGCAGGCUAAUAAAAUCCUGUCUUGUGCAUUUUAGCUUUUACAAAAGCAAGCCUAAUAGUUUUUCUUACAAAUACCUAUUUAUAAGAGAACACAUGGCUGAUGGUAAACACGAGUCACAGAUU
rnacentral:lncRNA from 1 species